rnacentral:lncRNA from 1 species
AAUGCAAAUGCACCAUAUUUUAAAUGAAUUCACACUCAUAAUAUUCAAUUCAUGUUCAAUACGUAAUACAUAUAUAGACAAUUGCACUCUUGUAUUCAUCAAAAGAUACUAUUGAUCAAAUGCAUUCAUUCAACAUAUAUAGAACAUUCAUUGUUUUACUUCACUCAAGUAGCUACAACCUUUAAGGAUCCACAAAUCAGAUAUACAAGAGAGGCAUGUUACAAAAAAAUGGCCAAAGUUCCUAAGAGACCAAUUGCAUGAUCACUGGAUUGCUACAGAAUAAUACGGAAGACCAACUCUUCAAUCGCCAAGCCGAAUCAACUUCCAUAUGAACAAAAUGUGUCAACCCAGUUCUCAACAAAACAGUCACGAGAACAUCUUCAGUCAACUUGUGGACUUGCUACUGUCUACCAUUUGUCCCUACAAAAGAACUCGUAUGUUAUAGAAGAUGUACAGUAUACACACAGAUCAUGCAGUAUUACCAAAUAUUAUAUGAUGAAUUGGAACCAUGCAUAGUUGAACUAGUCUCAUACAGGGAAGACCACAAGAAUGAACUAGGCUGGAGUCGAGUGUCAUCAAUCAAUCAAUAAACCAGACCCAAGUAAUAAAACAAAGAUGAACUAGAUAUCACAGGUCUAAAUCAACAGUGUAGAGCAGUGAGAAACUGGGGAGAAACCUCACAGUCAAGAGGCGCUGAUCCACAACCUUGUUUGGGGAGUUGAGGUCAGGGUCGUCGUCUUGGGCUUGGGGUCUUAGUUGUCCUCCUCAUCCAUGGAGUCGGGUGCCUACUACACCAAAUCAAGCAGGAAAAUAAUCAUCAUAUUAUUCAAAAGUCAGACAUACAAUCAAGUGGAAAAAUAAAUAAAAUCACCUGAAGAUUAUAAGGUACAAAACAACAACUUAUUUCUAAAACCCUCCAUUAAUUUCAUCUAGUUUAGUUUCAAUCGAGCAACAACUUGACGAUGGUUUAGUAUUUAUUUAUCCUGGACCAAAUUGGUAGAUUCGAUGAACAAUGCCUGAAUAAGAAAACAACUACUACAAUCAAUAUAUAUCAUCAAUGGUGGUCCCAUAUACUGUAGCAUGCAAAGCGGCAAGAUGAUAUGACACAAUCAAAAGCCUCUAAUGAGCAACCAGCAAAGCUGCAUUUAGUUGGAGGGUUUAGAAAGGGUGCCUCAGAGAAGAUAAUAUAUACCCACUUGUUAAUAUAUAAGCAACCAACCAGCACAACUACAUUCCGUAUGAUGAGUUUACAUUCCACUCAUACUCCAUUGUACACAGACAGAGACAGCUACACACAAACAAGUCCAGUCCCUAGAACCAACAAAUAUAAGCAUCGAUCGUGUGGUCUGCAAGGGUCAAAGUAAAGAGCAAUUUCUACUGUACCAUCCAUUUUCAGUUGCGACAAAGACUAGAACAUCUAGGCCAAAGAGGGAUCAAUUCCACAACCAAACAAUAUAACUGCAUUUACACACAAUUCUUAGUUCCCUACCAAACAACAAGAACAAGAUAGCCAAGCCACUUGCAUCAGACCACAAAUAGGCCAGAAUUAAUGUAAUGAUACAUAAAGGGCAGAGGGAGGAGAGUUGUUGUUUAUUACCACAUUGUUUGUUGUUGUUGUUAUUAUUGUUGUAGUUGAUCAAAAGGGCGACUUGGUGGGUUUGUGGUCCUUAUCCAAUUCCAACCGACCAUGCCCGGUGCUGAACCGGAGGGGUUCCAACUCUACCUGCAAACCAGAAAGGAGCUCACGAUUAAUAACAUUACAGAAAAAGAACAAGAUUACUUAAGAGGAACUAGGCUGGAGAACCUAGAGAACUAGAACUGGCAUCACAUCAUUAAAUCAAGCUAUAAAGUAAAGCGAGUGAAAACCAGGACAAAUGGUAGUGUGGUUUCACAAAUAGAAAAGAAUAGAACCUAGGCAGGCUAGAGCAGAGCAUCGACAACUUACUUGGGUACGUAAACCAUUCAUUUUAAGGCAAGACUUGCAGGCAUGUUCAUUGGCAAUAUAUAUUUAAUAAACACGUGCAUCUAUUUAAUUCACAUGUAUGAAUGCAAGAAGAAAACAAACCAUUCAUUCUAGAUCACUAAAUGAUCGAGAAUGUCUUAUUUUACUUUACAGAUGUGCACAUGACUCAGUCAAAAGGAAUAACAACACAUGAUGUUAAUGCUAGUUAAGUGCAUUGUCGCUUAUAUUCUACAUUAUUAUCAGGUCAUGUAUUCCACUUUUGAAGUGAAUAGGCAUUUUACUAUGUGGUAUAAGAUACUUACAGAGAAAUACAUACAUGUCCAUACAUCCAUAAUUGGGAAGGCCAAAUUGCAUCAAACAAACAUAUGAUUAUUUUGUUACAACCUUUAGAAAUGCAAGUAAUACAUGAUGAUUUUGUUAUUGUGUUUAUGAAAAGAGAUAAAGGCGGCAAGCAAGCAAGCAGGGCGAAUGCAUGGAUGGGAAAUUGAAACUAAAGAAGAAAUUGGUUCCUAGUCAAUGACUUGUGCAUAACCGUCAACAGAUGGAUGGCUACUUAGUGUCGUACUAACUAACAAGACACACUAGGAAAAUCACCAUGCUUUCAGUUGUAGAGACCAGACAUAGUAAACCAGAUGCUUAAGUUUAGGGGCCUCCCUCCCUGCUAUAGAGGAGCAAGUCUCUAGUGUGUGUGUGCAUUCCAAAGCUAAAGAUGCAAAUAUUAUUACAUGCCAUUUUUCCAUUAGUAAAAGGGUGACCCAGCAGCAACGAUAUAGAAAAAAACAAUGACACUUCUUUACCUUCAGACCAUAUAGCACCAAGUUUUGCUUCUCAUAUGCUUAAUUUACUAUUGCCCAGACUGAUCACACCUAGGCGGCACAAUGGUCCACCCAUCAGCAUCAGGGAUAGGCUUCGAGGACCUCGGUUCAUCCUGCUUCAUCCUCGAGCAUCAGUGGCUAGUCACCAUCAUCAUCAUCCAAACUAUAAAUCAUCGGCAUCAGCAGCCCUCUCCUCGCAACAAGGAAAUCAAUAAAUUAAAAGAGAGACAUCCCCUGAAUAUUAAUUGGUAACCAAGAUCCAACCAGCACAAUGGUGGCAUGCCAGGAUGCCAAAAACUGUUCGUUCAACAAGGAGAAUACAUCAAGGGAAAAACUAAAAAGAAAAAACAAGGCUCGCCGCUGGCCUAUCCGCAAAGUACCAGGGAUAGAUAGAUAUAUGCUAGCAUCUCGCAUUCUUGCUGGAAUAAUAUUCACAUGUAUGUGGCUACAAACUAAACCGUACAUUUUCUACUAGCUGCCAUGAUUAAUACUCUGGAUAUGAUACUAUUUGCAUAAUCAGGGUGCUGCUAUACAUAUACAAAUGUAGAAACCAAAUAUACAAUUUUCUUCCAUAACCCAGAUUUAUUAUCAUCAUAUUAUGCGCUUAUUUAUUACCAUUUUUAUAGAAAAACUAGGUAUUAUGACAGUCUGAUGCAUCCAAUGUUUAUAAUGACAUUAGAAAUUGUAGCAUUAAGCAGCUUAGGAGGACUAUCACCUAUUCACAUGUUCCUGUAAUAGAACGGGCAUAAAUUCUUUACUUGCCUUCACCACCUACGUAUGAAGAUUGACUGAUUGUUAGUAUGUUACUGACAAAUGCUUCUCUUCAAUAGAUGCAUCACUAGAUGUGUACGUAAUUAGGACAUACAGAUCACAUUUGGGACUUGAUAGGCGCACACAUAAUCAGAUUUAGCUACAAGAGGCUAUGAAAGCUAGCAUCUGCGCAAUAAGAAAAGGAGAAAUUGAAAAAUAAAAUAUGCCAAUCACAAAGGGGAACGUAAUUACAAUUCUAACAGAAGAAUGACACGCAUCCCUCUCCUUUGUAAUGCCUCGGCUAAGAAAUUGUUACAUGCUGCAAAUUUGUAGAUGAAGCACGCACUAGAACAACCAUAGAUUUAUUUACCUACUGGAAGAAGCCAACCAAUUCAUGGCUGGAUCCGAUUAGUUACCUACACGUACUGGAAAAACCACUAACCCAGCUUACCUAUAACGACCAGAUCUGGAGGUGGGCAGAGAAGGGGCGACAAGGAACCACUCACCCACCAGAAGCUUACCUCUUGUAUUCUGUAGGCGGGGCAGAGGAAAGGAGAUCAGCCGAAGCAGAGGUCGCACAUGGAGAAAAAUCAGCAGUGGAUCCUUGGUGGCGGUUGACGGCGCUACUGUUCCUCGGCGUGGCGGACGGAGCUGCUUCUCCUGGGCGGAUGGUGCCCUGCAGGGAGGAAGGCCAGGGUCCGAGAUGAUGUGGCACGAGGGGACCAGAGGACGGGCAUGUCAGGCUACAGCAA